rnacentral:rRNA from 1 species
UGCCAGACUCCUACGGGAGGCAGCAGUGGGGAAUAUUGCACAAUGGGGGGAACCCUGAUGCAGCGACGCCGCGUGAGUGAAGAAGUAUCUCGGUACGUAAAGCUCUCUCAGCAGGGAAGAAAAUGACGGUACCUGACUAAGAAGCCCCGGCUAACUACGUGCCAGCAGCCGCGGUAAUACGUAGGGGGCAAGCGUUAUCCGGAUUUACUGGGUGUAAAGGGAGCGUAGACGGCAGUGCAAGUCUGGAGUGAAAGGCGGGGGCUCAACCCCCGGACUGCUCUGGAAACUGUACGGCUGGAGUGCAGGAGAGGUAAGUGGAAUUCCUAGUGUAGCGGUGAAAUGCGUAGAUAUUAGGAGGAACACCAGUGGCGAAGGCGGCUUACUGGACUGUAACUGACGUUGAGGCUCGAAAGCGUGGGGAGCAAACAGGAUUAGAUACCCGCGUA